AACGCUAGCUACAGGCUUAACACAUGCAAGUCGAGGGGAAACGACAUCGAAAGCUUGCUUUUGAUGGGCGUCGACCGGCGCACGGGUGAGUAACGCGUAUCCAACCUGCCCACCACUUGGGGAUAACCUUGCGAAAGUAAGACUAAUACCCAAUGAUAUCUCUAGAAGACAUCUGAAAGAGAUUAAAGAUUUAUCGGUGAUGGAUGGGGAUGCGUCUGAUUAGCUUGUUGGCGGGGUAACGGCCCACCAAGGCAACGAUCAGUAGGGGUUCUGAGAGGAAGGUCCCCCACAUUGGAACUGAGACACGGUCCAAACUCCUACGGGAGGCAGCAGUGAGGAAUAUUGGUCAAUGGACGAAAGUCUGAACCAGCCAAGUAGCGUGCAGGAUGACGGCCCUAUGGGUUGUAAACUGCUUUUAUAAGGGAAUAAAGUGAGUCUCGUGAGACUUUUUGCAUGUACCUUAUGAAUAAGGACCGGCUAAUUCCGUGCCAGCAGCCGCGGUAAUACGGAAGGUCCGGGCGUUAUCCGGAUUUAUUGGGUUUAAAGGGAGCGUAGGCCGGAGAUUAAGCGUGUUGUGAAAUGUAGACGCUCAACGUCUGCACUGCAGCGCGAACUGGUUUCCUUGAGUACGCACAAAGUGGGCGGAAUUCGUGGUGUAGCGGUGAAAUGCUUAGAUAUCACGAAGAACUCCGAUUG
rnacentral:rRNA from 1 species